GAGUUUGAUCCUGGCUCAGGACGAACGCUGGCGGCGUGCUUAACACAUGCAAGUCGAGCGGUAAGGCCCUUUCGGGGGUACACGAGCGGCGAACGGGUGAGUAACACGUGAGUAAUCUGCCCUCCACUUUGGGAUAAGCCUCGGAAACGGGGUCUAAUACCGGAUAGGAGCAUUCCACGCAUGUGGGGUGUUGGAAAGUUUUUCGGUGGGGGAUGUGCUCGCGGCCUAUCAGCUUGUUGGUGGGGUAAUGGCCUACCAAGGCUUCGACGGGUAGCCGGCCUGAGAGGGUGACCGGCCACACUGGGACUGAGACACGGCCCAGACUCCUACGGGAGGCAGCAGUGGGGAAUAUUGGACAAUGGGCGGAAGCCUGAUCCAGCAACGCCGCGUGAGGGAUGACGGCCUUCGGGUUGUAAACCUCUUUCACCUGUGACGAAGCGAAAGUGACGGUAGCAGGAGAAGAAGCACCGGCCAACUACGUGCCAGCAGCCGCGGUAAUACGUAGGGUGCGAGCGUUGUCCGGAAUUAUUGGGCGUAAGGGGCUCGUAGGCGGUUUGUCGCGUCGGGAGUGAAAACACCGGGCUUAACUCGGUGCUGGCUUUCGAUACGGGCAGACUAGAGGUAUUCAGGGGAGAACGGAAUUCCUGGUGUAGCGGUGAAAUGCGCAGAUAUCAGGAGGAACACCGGUGGCGAAGGCGGUUCUCUGGGAAUUACCUGACGCUGAGGAGCGAGAGUGUGGGGAGCGAACAGGAUUAGAUACCCUGGUAGUCCACACCGUAAACGUUGGGCGCUAGGUGUGGGAACCCGUCCACGGGUUCCGUGCCGCAGCUA
rnacentral:rRNA from 1 species